ACCCAAUAGAUACCCGGGUAGUCCACGCCCUAAACGAUGUCAACUAGUUGUCGGGGAUUCAUUUCCUUGGUAAACGCAGCUAAACGCGUGAAAGUUGACCGCCUGGGGAGUACGGCCGCAAGGUUAAAACUCAAAGGAAUUGAUGGGGACCCGCACAAGCGGUGGAUGAUGUGGAUUAAUUCGAUGCAACGCGAAAAACCUUACCUACGCUUGACAUGCCAGGAACUUUCCAGAGAUGGAUUGGUGCCCGAAAGGGAACCUGGACACAGGUGCUGCAUGGCUGUCGUCAGCUCGUGUCGUGAGAUGUGGGUUAAGUCCCGCAACGAGCGCAACCCUUAUCCUUAGUUGCUACGCAAGGGCACUCUAGGGAGACUGCCGGUGACAAACCGGAGAAGGUGGGGAUGACGUCAAGUCCUCAUGGCCCUUAUGUGUAGGGCUUCACACGUCAUACAAUGGUCGGUACAGAGGGUCGCAACCCGCGAGGGGAGCCAAUCCCAGAAAACCGAUCGUAGUCCGGAUUGCACUCUGCAACUCGAGUGC
rnacentral:rRNA from 1 species